GACGAACGCUGGCGGCGUGCCUAAUACAUGCAAGUCGAACGAGUGGCGGACGGGUGAGUAAUUUCUUGAAAACUGCCUGAUGGAGGGGGAUAACUACUGGAAAAGGUAGCUAAUACUGCAUACCAUCAGAUGUGCCCAGAGGGGAUUAGCUUGUUGGUUGGGUAACGGCUCACCAAGGCGACGAUGCCUAGCUGGUCUGAGCGGAUGACCAGCCACACUGGGACUGAGACACGGUCCAUACUCCUACGGGAGGCAGCAGUGGUGAAUAGUGGACAAUGGACGAAAGCCUGAUGCAGCCAUGCCGCGUGUAUGAAGAAGGCUUUCGGGUUGUAAAGUACUUUCAGCGGGGAGGCGUUACACGCAGAAGAAGCACCGGCUGACUCCGUGCCAGCCGCCGCGGUAAUAC
rnacentral:rRNA from 1 species